UACGGAGGGUGCAAGCGUUAUCCGGAUUCACUGGGUUUAAAGGGAGCGCAGGCGGCUUGGUAAGUCAGUGGUGAAAGGCUUAAGCUUAACUUGGGAACUGCCAUUGAUACUAUCAGUCUUGAAUGUUGUUGAGGUUUGCGGAAUGGGUCAUGUAGCGGUGAAAUGCAUAGAUAUGACCCGGAACACCUAUUGCGAAGGCAGCAGGCUAAACAAAUAUUGACGCUGAGGCUCGAAAGCGUGGGGAUCAAACAGG
rnacentral:rRNA from 1 species